CAGUAGCCGCGGGAAUACGUAGGGUGCGAGCGUUAGUCGGAAUUACUGGGCGUAAAGCGUGCGCAGGCGGUUUUGUAAGACAGGCGUGAAAUCCCCGGGCUCAACCUGGGAAUGGCGCUUGUGACUGCAAAGCUAGAGUGCGGCAGAGGGGGAUGGAAUUCCGCGUGUAGCAGUGAAAUGCGUAGAUAUGCGGAGGAACACCGAUGGCGAAGGCAAUCCCCUGGGCCUGCACUGACGCUCAUGCACGAAAGCGUGGGGAGCAAACAGGAUUAGAUACCCCGGUAGUCCCUGUCUCUUAUAC
rnacentral:rRNA from 1 species